AGCUGGGGAAGAGGCAGAUGACUGAGGAAUCAGAGUUCUGAUUGUGGAGUGCCUCUCUCUAGGACGGGGCUGCAGCAUAGGAGUCUCAGCUGCUUACAUCCAGGUCCAGGAUUAUGUCUGCUAACAGACGCUGGUGGGUACCACCUGACGACGAAGACUGUGUGUCUGAGAAGCUCCUGAGGAAGACUCGGGAAUCUCCGCUGGUGCCUAUAGGUCCCCCGCAACGCCCACCCCCCGCCACCAGAUGCUGCAUAAAACCAGCUGUUUAUCUAGAUGCCCAGCCUGCCUGGUAAGGUAUCUCUCAUCAGGGGAGUGCUGUGC
rnacentral:sRNA from 1 species